rnacentral:rRNA from 1 species
AUUGAACGCUGGCGGCAUGCCUUACACAUGCAAGUCGAACGGCAGCACGGGAGCAAUCCUGGUGGCGAGUGGCGAACGGGUGAGUAAUGUAUCGGAACGUACCUUUCAGUGGGGGAUAACGUAGCGAAAGUUACGCUAAUACCGCAUAUUCUGUGAGCAGGAAAGCAGGGGAUCGCAAGACCUUGCGCUGAUUGAGCGGCCGAUAUCAGAUUAGCUAGUUGGUGAGGUAAAGGCUCACCAAGGCGACGAUCUGUAGCGGGUCUGAGAGGAUGAUCCGCCACACUGAAACUGAGACACGGUCCAGACUCCUACGGGAGGCAGCAGUGGGGAAUUUUGGACAAUGGGCGCAAGCCUGAUCCAGCCAUGCCGCGUGAGUGAAGAAGGCCUUCGGGUUGUAAAGCUCUUUCAGCCGGGAAGAAAACGCAUGGGUUAAUACCCUGUGUGGAUGACGGUACCGGAAUAAGAAGCACCGGCUAACUACGUG